UUAAAUUGAAGAGUUUGAUCAUGGCUCAGAUUGAACGCUGGCGGCAGGCCUAACACAUGCAAGUCGAACGGUAACAGGGAAACAGCUUGCUG
rnacentral:rRNA from 2 species